rnacentral:rRNA from 1 species
UAAGGCACCAUUAUUACUUUUAAAACAAGGAGGUCUCUCUUGGAAGCUAAGCAGGAUCGGGCCUGGUUAGUACUUAGAUGGGAGACCACCUAGGAAGACCAGGAGCUGUAG